rnacentral:rRNA from 1 species
GUCUUUUUGAUAAUGAUUUAAAGUCUAGUCUGCCCACUGUAGAAAUGAAGGGCCGCGGUAUUUUAACUGUGCAAAGGUAGCAUAAUAAUUAGUUUUUUUAUUGAAAACUGGAAUGAAUGGCUGGACGAGAGAAAUAGUGUCUCAAUAAAAAUUAAUGAAUUUUAUUUUUAAGUGAAAAAGCUUAAAUAAUUUUAAAAGACGAGAAGACCCUAUAGAGUUUAACAUUAAGUUUAUAAUAAUUUAUUGGAAUCAUUUGUUAUUAUAAUAAUUUUUGUUUAGCUGGGGUGGCUUUAAAAUUGAUUUAACUUUUAUAAAUUUAAACACUUAUUUGUGAUUAUUUGAUCCAUAAUUUUGAUUAAAAGAUUUAAUUACCUUAGGGAUAACAGCGUAAUCUUUCUUUAGAGUUCUAAUCAAUAGAAGGGAUUGCGA